GAUCGAUGCGACGACAAUGCAGCGAAAC
rnacentral:sRNA from 1 species